rnacentral:rRNA from 1 species
CUCGGGCCUUGUACACACCGCCCGUCACACCAUGGGAGUUGGUUUUACCCGAAGCCGGUGCGCUAACUUCGGAGGCAGCCGUCCACGGUAAGGUCAGCGACUGGGGUG